rnacentral:lncRNA from 8 species
AUGCCUACAGCAGACCAUAUACCAGGUAAACACCCUUUCAACAUACCUAAAACCAUGAGUGGCGGUGUGAACAUCAAGACCAUAUCCCAGGCCCAACCAGGCUCAGGUCUGGUCUCUGGAAUCCCCCUUCCCCGGAGGAUAACCCCCCUCUCCAAACUGGACCCGAAACAUCAGGGGGGCAGCGCCCUAUCUAACCCCACAGCACAGUUUCAACUCAGCACCAAAAUGCAUCCCUCCUACUCUUCAUCAUCUUCAUCCUUUUCAAAUGAGCUGCUGAGUGGUGCAGCUUUGAGGGGUGGUAUCUGUCCCACUGGCUCCUCCUCCAGAGUCUCCUAUGCCCCAGAGAGAGGCACCAUCAGCCGGUCAGCCUACAGCAGCCCCCAGGUCCCCAAGAGACAGACACCACCACGCUCCAAGGACACCCUGGACCUCCGCAGCAGCAGUGCUCUAUCCCAGAAGGCUUUUCGAGAACUUCACACCAGGAGAAAUGCCAACGGGAACUGGGCCUCAGGCGGGGUUCGCCACAGCCGUCUGGACGACAAUGGAGACGCGCAGGAUGCCCUGUCGAGGCUCUCUGGUGGUGAUCUCCACUCAGGCCAAAGCAGGCUCUCCAACACUAAAGCAGGGAACGGGAAUCUGAUCAGCGCUGUGUUGAUGACCACCCGUCAGGAGCAGAGGGAGCCGAGGAACCUCUCCUGCCAAGGCAUGGUCGCAUCUAAAAAAGAUAUGUCCACCAACAAACAUAGAGCGUCCCAUCUGAGCCAGGGUGGUGGUACCAGGCAGACAGUCAGUGUGCCACGCAGAGGGAGUGAGCCAGCCCGUAGUAACAUGGCCACUGUGGCACCUUUCAGGUUCAGGUGAGGGCACACUGAUAGCAUCAGCUCUACUUUAAUGUAUACUCACUGGGAGUAUGUCUGGAAUACAUUUAAGACAAUCCACUGGGGACAGAUGUCAAUUCAACAUCUGUUCCACUUUGGUUCAACAUAAUUUCAUUGAAAUGACAUGGAAACAACGUUGAGUCAACCAGUGUGUGCCUAGUGGGAAUACGUUAUUAUAUAGGCUAUUAUACAUAGCAAAGAUAUUGUAAUAUUGUAGUGUAAAUAUGUGUUAUAUGAAUGUCCCUGUUCGGUCAGUUAGCUCUAUUUCCCUCACAAUUGUAUGGUGGUGUAAAUUGAUGGUCAUGCUGUGCGUGUAGGUUGAAUGUCCAGGAUGAUGAUGCCUCUUCUCUGGAGGACCUGAGUGACUGCUCCUCAGACUCCAUGGAGGUGUGCUGUGAUGACCUGGGUGAGUCACAUUCACUCGUUGUCUCACCACGUUCACUGUACAGUACUAGUAUUAGGGUUGGCCUUUUUAACUCAGGGACAAAGUAUACUGCUGCUUGAGGAUUAAAGAACAAACUGGUUUUGGAUACCACAUUCGAUUCGACUUCCAUUAAACAUCUUGUAGACAUCCUUUUUAACCAAUUUAAUGAAAAUAUGUCUGUGGGUUUACUGCCCCAGUCCUACACUAAUGUGAUUAAGGUGUUACACAAAUAUCCUCAUCCAGGGUUUGGUACCAAAUCUAGUCCUCCUGCUGUAGAAGGUUAUCUGAGCAGGCGUUAUGGGUAUUUGUAGUCGUUUUCAGACACUUAUCUGUGUUUAAAUCCGUCCUGACAUACUGGCAAAAAGUAUGUAGACAUCUGCUUGUCGAACAUCUCAUUCCAAAAUCAGGGCCAUUAAUAUGGAGUUGGUCACCAGUUUGCUGCUAUAACAGCCUCCACUCUUCUGAGAAAAGUGUGUCUGAAGUAACCAAAUCCACAAAUUUGAAGGGGUGUCCACAUACUUUUGUAUAUACAGUGUAUAUAUCCGCUCUGAUCUGGAGCUCUCAUCUAAGGCAUAAAGGCCACAUGUAUGAAGAAACAGACUUACAUUUGGACAUGAUUUUGCAUAUACCAGGAAUAGUAGAAAGUAUGGUCAAUUGUACUCUGGUAUCCUUGAGGAAACAUAAAACCAUUGGAAAAUGUUUCUAGACAAUCUUUUUUUUUUUUGCUUGGGAUCACAGGUUGAAUUGGGAUUUUGCAGGAUGCAGGUGGUGGGAUUGGUUCCAACUAUGCUGUCCAAUAAUGUUGUAUUUCCAUGUUCAUUUUCAACAGAAAUCUAUUCACAUUUCACUCUAUGGUUAGGAUCAAUUCUGUCCCCUGACCAUGUUUUAAAACUUCUUCAGGAUUGGUGGGUCCCCUGCGAGACAGUUGAGCUAACGUAGGCUAAUGCGAUUAGCAUGAGGUUGUAACAACAACAAAAAAUCCCAGGACAUAGACAUAUCUGAUAUUGGCAGAAAGCUCAAAUUCUUGUUAAUCUAACUGCACUGUCCAAUUUACAGUAGCUAUUACAGUAAAAUAAUACCAUGCUAUUGUUUGAGGAGAAUGCACAGUUUUGAACAUGAAAAUGUAUUAAUAAACAAAUGAGGCACAUUUGGGCAGUCUUGACACAAUAUUUUGAACAGAAAUGCAAGGGUUCAUUGGAUCAGUCUGAAACUUUGCACAUACACUGCUGCCAUCUAGUGGCCAAAAUCUAAAUUGCACCUGGGCUGGAAUAAUACAUUAUUGCCUUUCUCUUGCAUUUCAAAGAUAAUGGUACAAAAAAAAUCAUUUUUCUUUCUUUGUAUUAUCUUUUAUCAGAUCUAAUGUGUUAUAUUCUCCUACAUUCCUUUCACAUUUCCACAAACUUCAAAGUGUUUCCUUUCAAAUGGUACCAAGAAUAUGCAUAUCCUUGCUUCAUUGCCUGAGUUACAGGCAGUUAGAUUUGUGUAUGUCAUUUUAGGCAAAAAUUGAAAAAAAGGGGACGAUCCUUAAGAGUUCUUAUCAGAUGAUUCAACCAUGAUAAGCCACUUUAUAUCACAGAUGACACCCUAUCAUUUAUUUUACUAACAGAUCACACACUAUCUUUUAUUUUACAAACAGAUCACUCACUAUCAUUUAUUUUACUAACAGAUCACACCCUAUCUUUUAUUUUACUAACAGAUCACAGCCUAUCUUUUAUUUUACUAACAGAUCACACCCUAUCUUUUAUUUUACUAACAGAUCACACCCUAUCUUUUAUUUUACUAACAGAUCACACCCUAUUUUUAUUUUAGUAACAGAUCACACCCUAUCUUUUAUUUUAGUAACAGAUCACACCCUAUCUUUUAUUUUACUAACAGAUCACACCCUAUUUUUAUUUUAGUAACAGAUCACACCCUAUCUUUUAUUUUAGUAACAGAUCACACCCUAUCUUUUAUUUUACUAACAGAUCACACCCUAUUUUUAUUUUAGUAACAGAUCACACCCUAUCUUUUAUUUUACUAACAGAUCACACCCUAUUUUUAUUUUAGUAACAGAUCACACCCUAUCUUUUAUUUUAGUAACAGAUCACACCCUAUCUUUUAUUUUAGUAACAGAUCACACCCUAUCUUUUAUUUUAGUAACAGAUCACACCCUAUCUUUUUGUCAGUUAUGGCAACACAGAAAAUUAGGACAUAUUGAAAAAGGAGUUGUUUUUCAGUAAACAGGACACCAUGCCAGGCAACUAUGUACUGGUUGUUCUAGUAUUCCAGUGUUAAUAGCCCCUUUCACUAGUUCUCACUACAGUGACUGCCAACAUACAGUACAGUAAACACUUCAUUACUCCCCACCUGUUUUAUACAUCAGGACCUAAGAUCUCCUCCAGCAGUAUGUCACAACUGGAUCUCACUGCUGCUGUUAUAUGAAUACUGUUUUUCGUAAACGCACAUGUGGGAAAAUAUGUUUUCCUGACUGUCAAAAUUACUCUUAAAUCCCAUACAGCAGAUGACUAUUUCCAAAAUGUUUCUACAUCUCGGGAGUACACUUGCCGUGAAAUGUAUGUCAAAACUGUUUAAAAAGCCAUUAGAACAUCUUGACUUUAAACUCCAUUGUCUGUUUUAUUCUUACCGGAGAAUGUAUUUGUUUUGUAUCUUCAAAUGUUGAAUAGGAGCAUAACGAUUAAUUUCACAGUGACAUGUCUGUGAAAAUGUUUAGUACCAAGUUUUCAGACUGCUGGGGGACAUGAGGAUUGGAUAUUGGAAUAGUCAUUCUGCCAAAAAUAUCAAUUUGCAACCAUCCCUGUCUACAACACACCACAAUGUCAACCUACAGUAUAACUAACAUGGAUAUGAAAGGAGAAUACGAAAGUCACUCUGAGCCUGUAAUGGAGAGAGAGGGGUCUAAGUGUUGCCCUGAUUAGUACUGUUUAGGAACACCCAGCGUGCAGAUAAUGAGAAAAGGAAUUCAGAAAACCACUUGCACUAUGAAAGCCUUCUAAGUAGUUAUAAAAGCCUUCUAAGUAGUUAAAAAAGCCUUCUGAGUAGUUAUAAA